rnacentral:rRNA from 1 species
CGGUCUGGUGGCGAGUGGCGAACGGGUGAGUAAUAUAUGGGAACAUACCAGUAGUGGGGGAUAACUAUCCUGAAAGGAUAGCUAAUACCGCAUACGAUCUGUGGAUGAAAGCAGGGGAUCUUCGGACCUUGUGCUAUUGGAAUGGCCGAUAUCUGAUUAGCUAGUUGGUAGGGUAAAAGCCUACCAAUGCGACGAUCAGUAGCUGGUCUGAGAGGACGACCAGCCACACUGGAACUGAGACACGGUCCAGACUCCUACGGGAGGCAGCAGUGGGGAAUUUUGGACAAUGGGGGCAACCCUGAUCCAGCAAUGCCGCCGUGAGUGAAGAAGGCCCUCGGGUUGUAAAGCUCUUUUGUCAGGGAAGAAACGGAGUUCUCUAAUAUAGGAUUCUAAUGACGGUACCUGAAGAAUAAGCACCGGCUAACUACGUGCCAGCAGCCGCGGUAAUACGUAGGGUGCAAGCGUUAAUCGGAAUUACUGGGCGUAAAGCGUGCGCAGGCGGUUUUGUAAGUCUGAUGUGAAAUCCCCGGGCUCAACCUGGGAACUGCAUUGGAGACUGCAAGGCUAGAGUGUGUCAGAGGGGGGUAGAAUUCCACGUGUAGCAGUGAAAUGCGUAGAGAUGUGGAGGAAUACCGAUGGCGAAGGCAGCCCCCUGGGAUAACACUGACGCUCAUGCACGAAAGCGUGGGGAGCAAAC